GGAUCUUUCACCCAACGCCAACCCAGGGUGGAGCAGCUGGCGUUGAAGGUAUCCCUCGCCCCAUAAAACGCCUCACUCCCCACGGCCUUAUAUGGAGCAUUCAACCGUUUAGAAAAGCGAAAAAGAUGAUAUGAGUUGUGUGGGUCAUAUCGCUUGUCACGUAAUUACAGUAGAUUGGAGUAAGGAUUGGAUCCGGCACUGA
rnacentral:lncRNA from 1 species